UACGUAGGGGGCGAGCGUUGUCCGGAUUUAUUGGGCGUAAAGAGCUCGUAGGCGGCUUGGCAAGUCGGGUGUGAAACCUCCAGGCUCAACCUGGAGACGCCACUCGAUACUGCCAUGGCUAGAGUCCGGUAGGGGACCACGGAAUUCCUGGUGUAGCGGUGAAAUGCGCAGAUAUCAGGAGGAACACCGGUGGCGAAGGCGGGUCUCUGGGCCGAAAUUGACGCUGAGGAGCGAAAGCGUGGGGAGCAAACAGG
rnacentral:rRNA from 1 species